UUUUUUUUUUUUUUUUUUGUCAAAAAAAAUUUUUUUUUUUGUCUUCGUCCUUGUUUGAUUCCUCGACUUUAGGGCAUUCAAUAUGAAUUUUGCACAUGGGACUAAUUGAAGAUUAGGAAAAGUGCCACUAGCUCAUCCAAUUCUGGUUGCUUUUGUUGAUUCCUGAUGCGGUGCAUGUAAUGUUUUGUCAAUCAAAGGCCUCAUUCAACCUAUAAAAUCACCCACCUAUAGUCAAUGUAUGCGUCAUUUGUCCUCGCUCGGUUCCUUUCUCCAGCAGAAGCCUUUGGGGAUUUAAAUUCAGUGCACAAUGAACCUUUUCUUGCGUUUUUUCUGGCAAUUGACAUCAGUUCCAAAGUUUCAGUUGAUCGUUGCUCGUGAUCCCGCUUGAUUUGAGGACAGUACAAACUACUACUUUCAACCUGUCUUUCUCAUGAAUUUCUCCAGGAACCAACGAAUAUAACCCAGAAAGCAGACUCUUACAUUAAAAAGGGGUUUUGGCAGCAUGUUGCAAGUAGCUUUAAAAAUGAGCUCUUUGUCUAUAGCAACUCCAUUGUAAUUGUGAACCUCUACUAUGACAUGUUAUCAAGCAUACAAGCUUAAAAUGUGCUAAUUGGAUGGAUGGUUGGGUAAUUUAGAGUUGAACUAACUGUGCAUUUAUUUAUCAAGCAAGUGGUCGCUAUUAAACUUUCAUUUAAGCUCGCAGUUGCAUCGGCCAAAUUUGCAAUGAACCAGACACUUUGGAGGACGAUUCCAAGAUCAUUUUCGAUGUGGUAUAAUAAGACUAGUGUCAGCUUAACCAAUCAGGGGACCCAUAAUGGUUAGUAUCAUUAAAUAGUAGUAGUAGCAUAUGGUUUUCUUGUGCGCACUGCACUAUACAUAUUAGUAAUUAAGUACUUAUCAACAUCAAAGUUGUGGCGGACAAUAUGAUUCCAUUCCAAGUUGGAGCCAAUCCCAUUCCCAGGCCAACUACUGAUCUUGAAAUUCCAGCAACGUAGCAGAGCCUAACUUGAGGCGGGCCACUCACCGUUCACCAAUCGCCAACCCUUUUUUGUUUGCACAAUCGUAAAGCACAUGUUAGUUUCUUCUACUAUUACUUGCACGAUCAUUUUUGAGGAUAUUAAAGAAACGAAAUGCGAAUUUCGGAAAGCUCUGCGCUUUCUCCUCCUUUUUCACUUCUGAUCAUAUCGACUGGGGCAGCAAAAGUAAAAAAAUUUUCUUUAGUAAACUUUCAGACGUGGCAAAUGAACAAGAUGAAUUUGAUUCACGAUUGUUAAAAGAAUCGCAUACGUUGGGUGAAUGUCAGUACCAGCAAUUAAAUUAAUCUACAUAGGAUCUGUACAUAAAUUGCAUGGAAAAUUUGUGGUUUUACAAUCUUCAGUGGAUAGUCUCUGUCAAGGUGAAUCUAAAUCCACGUCUCGAUCCAAAACGGUGGCAUCGGGAUCAUCAUCAUCAUCACGUGCAUGGGCAAAGAGUCGAGAAAUGAACUAGUAGUAUAACUGAAGCAAAGACAGUGUGGCAAAGGUGAUGAUUGAAGCUAUUGGAGUAGAGUGCAAGCCAAAGUUAGAAAUGGUCCUUGAUGAGUCCCCUGUCAAAAAGUUUGGCAUCCACGAAGUGAAUGGAUCUUGAUCCUCUGGUUGUGACCCUGGGUUGCUCGAACCACCAACUGUUCCUGUUGCAACCGGUGGCCCGUUUGUUGAGUCUGAUGAAGAAGAAUCUCUCGAAGACUUCUGGCUGCAGGGGGGCGAAAAAAAAAAUCAACCAUCAAGUAACAAGCACUUUUAAACAUGCGAAUGAACAGUAUGAAAUUGUAAAUUCUAAAUUAGAAUGUUUCCACCACCACGGGGGGGGGGGGGAAUUGACUACUGAAGUCGAUCAAUUAAUUAUACAUGUUUUCAUGCACAGUAAAAAUACUUGUUAAUUAGAAUGGGUGGUAAUUUUUUAUGUGGUUCUUGCCUUGACAAGAACAUAAAGUGGAGAAAAUGCUGUCCCGAGUAAGCAGGGUAUUAUGCAAGUAACUUAUCGGUAUCUCUCCUCUACCCAAAAAAUUUGACGAACACGGGCCGGGCAGCGAUCGUGGCAGUUUUCAGAGGGAUAUAAAGUGAUGUGUCUCGUAGUAAAAAGCAAAGAUACUGGUUGUUUUCAGAAAGAAGAAAAGGUCACAGAAGAGAUGUAUUGUCACUUUUAAGAUUCUCUCAACAGUUGCCUACUUCGAUUCCAUUUCCUUACAACCAAAUAAGAGUACAAAAUAAUGAAACCAAUGCUGCCUACUAAAUCGAAUGAUAACUUCAUAGUCCAAUUCAGAUUAUGCAUGGUAAAAUCCUGCAGCUACGUGCGUGCAAUACUGCAGCACAGUUUAAAAGUAGAAGCAGAAAUUAUUAAGUUGGAGGCCCUGAAUCCCAUCUCGUCAAUGGCUUCAGAAAAGUAGGAAAAAGAAAUAGUACUCCAUAAGUAAUCUUUUUUUUUUUUCCCUAAAAAUAAGAAAUGGUACGGAAAGCAGUAGAGUAGAGAUGGAAUCGAUCAGCAAAAGAAUAUUGGAAUGAGAACAAACAAACAAUUUCUUAAUAACGGUUGGUGGGUUGGUUGGUUAGUGGUUACCUUGUGGUGGAAGGGCAGAAUGUAAUCGUAUAAUCGGCGCCUUUACAUGUAAAAGUACUCGUGGCAUCGUCGUAGGCGUAGCUAUAGGCCCUGGGACACGCAUUCUUGAAAAUCUCCGAAUACAUCGACGGCCUGCAAGUCGACGGUGAGCCAUACUCUCCGCUGCAACAGUACUCCGGACUGCCAAAUGCCUCGCAUGCACUCUUGCAUGCCUGCCCCUCCCCGCCCCGCAAUUCGUUGGGGCACAUCCUGUUCAAGUCAGUCGCACACCCGUUGCCCCGCAAGCACCUGACCCCCACUUGGCUCCACCAUCAUUGGCAGAUUGUACCCGUCCACCAGGCUGACGUCGUAGAAGUCCUGGGUUCCCGAGUCAGGGCCAGACCCGACUGUGAACUCCGCAAGAGUUGCGGGUGGGGUUGCCCCUGCACCAUUGCACUCCAGCUGGUUGGACCCACAAUCGCCGGUGGCGCAGCUUCCUUGCCCGGUUGAGGGGUCGAAUGUACAACCUGUUCUGCCCCAAAACCGGCCUGACCAGCUGGGAGGAGCUUGGAAGGACCUGGACCCCCCGGUGGAAGUUCAAACCCGGUGCUGUCCAACUUGGCGCUGCCGGCGUUGGCUAAUAUUCCUGGCCAUACCAUGUGGUUGCACCUGUUUACUAAUGUAAAUGUAGCCCCUGAAAUUCCUGCCAAAAACACACACACACACACACACAUAUAAAUACAACGUCAACAAUCAGUCCAUUAAUGUGAUUCUUAGUAUGAUCAUCAGUUACAUACACACACAAACGUCACGUGCAUGUUACAUGUAUAUGUGUAUAUAUAUAUAUAUAACUAGCUAGCUGAAUCAACGUUAAUAGAGUAGGUUUUUUUGUAAUUAACUGAAAAUUAAAAGAAAAAGGAAAUAGUAAAAGAUAAUGUUACUGCAUCCAUUAGGAUACAAACCUUUGCUGUUGAUCACUAGGAAAACCAAGAUGAUGCGAAGACAGAAACAAGUCGAGGACAUUGGCAGAAUUGGAAUCAAUCAAUGAAACUUAACGGGAAGAUGAAGAAUAUAUAAAGAUGGCUUUUCUUUUUCUGUGAUCAAAUGAGGACGGUUGUAUUAGGAAAGAAGAGGACGCUGUGGAAUGAUAAGUAAAGGGUUUUUUGGGAUGAUAGGUAGCUGUAAGAUAACAACAAUGGGGUUUGGGCAGUUGGGGUGUAAUACCCAUAAAAUUAUGACAGGUUUUUAUGGGGAGAAAGGAGGAGAUUGAUUACAAUGGUGAUCUGACGAGGAAUGAGGCUGGGGGAUGCUGAUAUGGAAGUCUUUAUAUAUAUAUAUAUAUAUAUAUAGUUGCUGUUUAAGUAAGAUAUGCUAAAGUUUGGUGUGAAUGCAGGAAUAGGAGGUUGACUAGUAGUGUCAAAUCUGCACAAGUUUACGAUAUUUCCUGGAACAAUAAACAAAUUGGAAGCGGCUGGCGAAUUGGCAAUGGCCCCUCUGUGGUAUGUACGGUAUACUCCUGUGGUAUGCUGUAUUGUUUUGUAUAUAAGGGUCUCACUUUUGUUUAAUUUAAGAUGCCAAGUGCAUCCCAAGUAACAAGCAAAUUGGCACUCUACGUGAAAUGAAACUUUUCUAUUGGUUCUGGAACCGACAUGAGAUGAAACUUGUUAUCGGGGCUGCUCAAAGGGAACAAACCUCCCUAACUGUGGUGUGCAACAAUUCUGACUGAAACAGUCUAUUAUUCCGCGGAGAACUGGUGCUGGGGCCUCGCCCUAGUUGUGUCAACAUAUUCCGCCUAACUAUAGCGAUCAGAAAAUUGAGAUCAAGAAUCUAGCCUUUCUCCUUCUUUCGUUCAAUGUGGCAGGAUUCCUACAUUGCUACAGUCUCAAGUCUCGACCCCCUUUUCCAUGGAAUUAGAUUCCUAAUCAAGUUUUCAAUUGAAGAUACAAAAAAAAAACUAGUUCGUUGAGCUUAGUCGAUGAUCUGUAGGAAAUGUACAAAUUCAAGUUGUAGAUUCGAGUGAGCCAUCCAAUAAUCGAUCGGUCAAAACGUUCAGCAAGAAUAUUUGAAGUUCCUUUCACUUGUCUUCCAUUAGCAAAUGGAUUUUGAAUUUCUUUUCUUUUUUCUUCUCUGGUAUUGUGGGAUAAAAUAUUUAUCAAUUUGAAAAGGUAAAUUUCUUAAAAUAAAUUAACUUUGUGACAUGCUUGUACUCAAACUCCGUAUAUCUGCAACAAUUUAUAUCUGUUAGUCACUGUAUGAAGGACCAAAUAAAAGGAAGUAGGAAUGAUGUACCGAGUAAAACGCGACCAAAUUAAACUGUUGCUCAUCAUUAAAAUCUUAAAAUUUUGGUGGGAGCGGGAGGUCAAAUGUUCAAUCUUUGCCUUCCAUCAUAUAUACCACUUAAUUGUGACGAGUUCUUUGUCGGCUUUUUUUCCUCUACACUAGAGUAGAGAGGCUAUAUACAAAUGUUAUAGUUGCGAAAAAAGAAAGAAAGAAGAAGAGUAAAACACUUUUCUGUUUCUGUUCUCAGUCAUCACUGCACAUUUGAUGUUAUAUUUGAUAUGGAGACCACUGAGUCAAUAUUUCGGUGUCAACGAAAUCAUCAAUCAUAGCAAGUGUUGGCCCAUAUUUGGGUUUAAUUCCUAAAAGAAAUCUUGGAUCGACCAAGUGAUCAUUCGUGGGGCGGUGUUUGCUUUUUUCCUUUUCUUUAAUUAUCUCCAUCUCUCUCUCUCUUUUUUUUAACCUUGCAUUUAAACGAGAAUAAUAAUAAUGCUCAAAAUCCACUCGCAUUGGUAGGUCAUUUCAAAUUUUUGGUUGGAUUGCACCAAGCUUGCUUAACAGAGAUCGUAGCUAAUUAAAAAGGGCUUGUGUUUUCUUAUCCAGAAAUAAAUGUACACACAAACGCCGGAAAUGAAAUCGGAAUUUAUGGAGGAUUUCGGCUGCAUCAUCUCAUUUCGCCAAUGAACCGGAGCUUAAUUUUAAUCAACGUAAACGUCCACAGACAUGUUAAUCCAUGUGGAUUGGAUUGAAACGAACCCAUUUCAUGUAAUUUCUGUUAAGACGUUUGUUGUCAAUAUUAAGCCAUAGGACAAGUCAUUUCAGCAUCAACAAUACUUCUCCUGGUGAUGGAAGUAGAAAAGAUGUGCAAGAGAUAUGAUUCAAACCCUCCCUCAAAUUUCACAAAGAAACUGCAAGUACGAGUACGUAGCUAAGGUCCCUGGCCAUAUGAAUAUUACGACUGCAACUGAAAUCCGUAAAUGCGAGCUGAAAAGGCAGCGCUGGAAAAGUGAAAACUGAAAAGUGCGAGGCUGCCCUAAAGAAAUGGACAUAAGAAUGAAAAGAAAGAAGAAAUUGUGCAACUCCACGUCACUGUGUCCGUGCUGGCGUGGAAAGCAGCAAGAUUCACUGUCCCACUCAUUCAUUUGGUUUGCUUAUUGCCGUAAAUUAAAUGAAAACACCCCUAUCCAAAAGUGAACCAUUUUGCUGGAUAAUUUUGUUUGUAUAGAAGAUUAAUUAUUCUAAAAGUGAACCAAAGUAGAACUUAUUGGCUAUAGUAUUUACUUUAGGAGUUGAUGUUGACGACUUGGGCACCCACGUCAGGAUGGCCGAGUGGUCUAAGGCGCCAGACUCAAGUUCUGGUCCUCGUGAGAGGGCGUGGGUUCAAAUCCCACUUCUGACAUUAAUAACACCAGUAUUUUUCUGUUUUUUUUUUCCCCAGCAGCGUACAUGGUGAGAAAAUAAACAUACAAGCAUCAGGUCCCCUGGGUGCUACUGUAAAUGCUGGAAAAUGAUCAGUCAGAAUUAGGAGGGAGGCUAUAGCAACUGGCAAGAAAUAAAGAGUUGCAGAAAGCUACACGAUGCAUGGUGCGGAUAGGAAGGAAAAUGCUUACGCUGUAUAGCAACUGUCUUCUUUAUGCUGUGAGCUUCGUCAGGGAAAUUAAGAUAAGUUCUACUCGAAAAGUUUACUUAGGUACCUUUUCUUUAAGGAAAAAAAAUUUUAAAAGAAAGAAAAACAGAAAAAGAACAGUAAAAGCUUUUACUUUCCCAAAAAAAGGUUCAGUAGAGGAAAAGUCUGCUCACUGGCUGGUGCUGAUUUGAUCUGCUGAUCGGUUCUUACGUGGGAGAAGAAACGUAAGUCGAGUGAUCAUUGACACAAACAGUUGAGAUUUCCACCACUUACUAUGGAUUGGUAAAGGCUCAGAACAUAAUAUUAAUGUUUCUUAAUUGUCCGAAUUACAUCUUUUUGACAUAGUGGCAUUAUCUUCUUGACUCAUUUCAUCAUGCUGUCAUGAUUAACCCCCUGAUUCUUGUGCCUGGACUCAUGCGGGUUAAAUACAAAGCAAAACAAGAAUUGUCAUACAGGAGCAACUAGCUAGCUAGAAGGAGAGAGGAAAGUAGUAAAUUGAUGGAUGGAAAAUGCUUUCUUCAUAGGUUCACUGUCAUGGCUGAUAAACUUUGUCAACAUAUUGUCUAUGACGCGUCACCAUAUCCAGAAUGAGAUCAACCGUCAACGUCGGUCGGUGCUCCCUCUUUCUGACCUAUUUAACAGUUAACAUCGAUUCGAUGUAUUCAACAACUAAUUACGAGGAAGAACGUGCAUUGACAUGUUUUGGUGUCGUGUAAAGGGAUCAUAUCCCAUGUGGAUAAUUGUAUUUCUUUUUCCCCAUCCAUGUACCUUUUGAUUCGUUAUCCCAUUUUAUCUUCCUUUAUCAAAAGGUUUGUGUCAUCCUCUCAACAAAAAAAAAAAGCUACGUGCCCUUGGUCGAUUGGAAAGCUCCCUAAUUAAGGAGUGGGGUGGUUUUGCUCUUCCAUUUGUCUUCCUGCCGCCAGCCCGCAGGUAAUUCGGUAAAAGUUCGUUCAAGAAAGAAGAGCAACCUAAAAAUUCGUCCGUCCCAUUUCUGGACUACUAGUACUAUUCUUCAAUUGCAGAUGUGGUACGAACCCUUAAUUAGGGCAUGCAUGUUCUAUGCUCUCUCCCUCUCUCUGUUUCUCUUGGUAAUUACUUAAAGGCAAUAAUUAAUAUAUAUGUGUGUACAUAAAUAUAUGUGCAUGCAUGGUAGAGAGUAUUGCACGCAUAAAAGUGGGGGUGCUGGCAGCAGGUGGUAAUGGUAAACACUCUGAAAAAUCUGGUGUCUAUCUUAACAUAAAGAAGCUUCUUUAAAUAGCCUAUUGCAGGAACCUAUAAGGAGGAAUGCAAGAAAAGAGGGGACGUGGAAAAAGGAAGGAUACGUGAUGUGGAACCUCAAAAGCAAGCAAACGUGAUGCGUAGAAUGUCGGAAGAAGAUCGACUCUUUUCUUCCUCCUUCCCCCACAACAACAAAAAAAAAAAACCAAUUUAAAGCAUUCUCUAAACACAUCGCUUUUCAUCCGAGAAAAAUAGCCAUUAAUGGAACGUCCCCAACUAUAAACUAAUUACUACGUAAAUGCUAUAUAUCUACUACCUUCUGAGCUAAGUUUUCUUGUCUUCUUCUUCUUUUUUUUUUUUUUUGUGGCAUGUUUUCUUGUCUUCUGGUCAAUGGACUAGGACUGGUUCACUCAUUUGUUAAGGGCUAAAAUACGUGUUUUUUAGACCAUUUGGAGAGCUAAAUAUAAUGAAUGGGUUUUUCGUUGGUGAUUAUUUAUUUGGUGUUAGGUUAACCAGAUUACCACACUGCUUACCAGUUAAAUCAGGGUAACCUUCGGAAUUAUGGUCCUUAAUUUGUUGGGUCUAUUAACUUAUCGUAUCCUAAUCAGAUGGCAUUUGUGCUAUAUCUAUGCCUUUCAAGAUUUAGUUAAGGAAAGGUUCCUGUUGAAAUCAGUAUACAUAUAUAUGCAUGACAUAAACUAUCUGAAUAUAUCGCCUUGACGAAACUAUCUGAAUUAUUCUCCUAGAAAACUUCAGUCUUUCUGCUUCUAUGCGAAUGAAUCCAGGAUAUAGAGUUCACCAAAAGAAAAAAUGGAUUUCUACUCAAGGCCACGUAUCAAUCUGUCGGAGGAUACGGUGCAAUGCUAGGCCAUCGUAGUUUGACCUCAGCUAAUUAAGUUUAAAUGUUUAAUUAUUGGAAAAAUAAACAGACAAUGAAAAAAAAGGGAAAAAAAAAAACGGAUCAAAGUUCAUCCCACUGGAAAUUUUUUUUUUUUUUUUGUCGACACAGGGGUGUCCGGAUCAAUUCUUACGGGGCCCAACUAAUCUCCUGCCGCCCGGGAGAGGAUAUCCCACUCCACACCGAACACGUUAACAACGGAACUUGAACCCUGGACAAGCCAGGAAGAUCGCCAUAUCCUAAGGAGGGGAAGCGGAUCGCUCAAGCUAUCCCCGCAGGAACAAAGACCAGCCACGUAGAAUGGUAAGUUGUGGGAGGUGACCUCCAGCAUCCCCAAAGAAGGGGAUGACCACUGGACCAAAUGGCCAGUGGCUCAUCCCGCUGUAAAUCAAUUAACAAAAUUCUGUGGAUCCAUCUCAGAAACAAAAAUGCUCAGGAUGGAGGAUUCUUCAUUCUUGCACUGAACUAAUCAAGGGGUGUAAAAUGCAAAGGGAAAGGAAUUCAGCCUAAACGAAAGUCCCCAUCCACAACUAUGUGAUUGAUUGGACUUUUGGGUUGAAUCUUCUCUUUGGAUUUCCACAAACAACAGGCCCGCAGUCUCCGCAGUCUCCUGCAGUGUACGGACAAGGACAAGUUGGGCUUCGUUCAAACAAUAAUCGUCCACUCCACUACAGGUAGCGAAAAUGUCGCAACUAGUUUUGAGGAAGUACUCAUCUGCUUCAGUUACAAUUUUUUUUUUUUACCUCCUUCUUCUUUUUUUUUUUAAAAAAAAUUAACUUCUAUAUCCUGAAACCCUUAACUUUUGGCCUGUAAGAGUUACUCAGUUACUUGUCUCUUGGAUUACUCUGUAGAAUGUGAUUGCCAAGUCUAAUUUAAACAAAUUUGAGCAGGAAAAAUGGUUGGGAGCAUUAUCUGCUUCGAUUGUCAACUUCCUCAAAGCCAAAAUCACGCACCGUCAAUUUGAGAAAUUCUUGAAAUAUGCAUAUGCACCAAUGCACGCCUUGAAGAAUGGCAUUUUGUUGCGUUCCACUGAGCAACAUUUGCAUAAAAAGAAAUUCAAAAUGUCGACGCUUUCGUAUUUUAUAGCUUAUCCGAAAACCUUUUUUGGAUCGAGGGGAACAAAAGAAAGAAAUUCGGAAAAGUUUGACUGUAUAAAGGAUUAACUCCAUUAGUUUUAAUGGGGAGGAGCUUAGUCAGUAGACAGGACAGCUGGUGGCGGCUGCCGCCGCUGGUUGUGGUGGUCGUGGCAGCCACGAGACCGCAGCCACCAAAUGGGCUACGAAAAUCCUCAAAUCCAUUUUCUUACAUGUAUUACUAACUACAAAAUGGGUGAUGUUGUGUGGUGGUGGAUUCGACAUCUUUCUGAGUCAUAUUUGAAAGUAGCAGCCAUAAAUGCAUUGAACCACAACUUUGUCAAUGGUAGCUGAUUUAAAGCUCCAAGAACUGAUUGAUUCAAUUUGAUUGAUGAAAAAACCAAAACCAUCACUUUUUUUUUUUUCUUUUUGGUCUCGUUAAUCAAUCAGGGGAUGAGCUCGCUCCGUUUUGGAUAUUGUUCUACAACAUGACUGGUGGUGACGUGUUAGUGUCACCACAUUGGAAAAAAGCGUCUAAGCCCUGACCGCUGACCGGACCCAGAUGGAUUCUCCUAAUCACAUAUAUUAUUACUGCUCAAUUUGAUUUCAGGAGUCGAUUUCUUUGCUGAAAAGCAAACUUGUCGGUCACAUUUAGUCCAACUAUACUCGAGCAGUCCACCGUUAUAGAAACCAUCGUUGGGCUCAAUUUGUCUAAAGAUUUUGAUCAUCUACCCUGCAGGCGGUAGUUAAGAUGGAUCCGAAGUUGAGUGUAGUGGAAGGAAAAACAAUUACUGCUGCUGCUACAUCAUAUCCUCAAAAACUACAAAGACGGCAACUAACCAAAAGAGAGUUGGUGGCUGUCUUAUGUAUUGUAGAUGUAGAUAUAUUUUGGAUCGAUCGUACAUGCUGGCUUGGUUUUCGGUGCGUAGAUAUAUAGUUUGAGCUGUAUCGAUCGGCCUCCGUUUCUCUGCUGCCUUGGUUUAUUCAACACCAGAGAAUAUUCCACGGUUAAAAGAGAACCGCAUUCUUCAUUCAUUCCAGUUUGAUUCGGUACUUGAAUUCAAUCAACGAGUGUUAGCUAAUCUCUCACUACAAUAGAAUUUUGGUUGGAAUCUCAUAUUAUGUACCCGUACUGGAACUGGUAAAUGCAGUAAUAAUGCUUCGGAAGUUGGGGUGUCUUUCUUGUCCAUAAUUAGCUGGAAGCUCUCAAAGUAUUUGUUUCUAUAAUCAGGUGAUCCAGCAAAAAGUAACCUCCAGACCAAGAAAAUGAAAUCUCCUGCCAAUAUAUGCAAAAAAAAAAAAACAGAAGUCAGCAUGCAAGAGGUUAAACCGUUCAUGUGCGUGCACUGAUCUGGUGUUUCAGUUCCUUCAAUUGCAGGUCACUUGGAGAACACAUCACAUGGUAACCACACUUACAUUGUCCGAUCUUUCUUCAUUUUUCUUGACUAGUCUUUUUUUUUUUUUUUUCUCUUCUUUUCUGUCGGAAACAAUAGAACUACUCCAACUCAAUAAUAUGGAGAGGGGGCCUGACCCAAUGGCACCUAGGGAGGAAAUUCUGAAGGAUUAAACCAUCACCGAAACCAAGGGGAGGAAUUCGGACCUACUCUUACUCUAUAUUAUAGGGAGGGAUGAUCCAACGAGGCCAAGGGGAGAAAUUCGAGAGAGUGAAUCAUCACCGAUCUAAACGAAUGCGCUGUCGAAAUAUUUCAGAUAAUUCUGAAUUUUUAGAAUGCAGGUUAAGAGAUUCGAUCUCUUCUUGAUCGAUACGCAAGCAGAUUCUCCAGUUAUUCUAAGAGUAGUUGUUUUGCAUGACUAAUCAUCUACCUACGUGUAUGAAUGAAAAAGUUUUCAACAUUGUUAGUUAACUGAUGUUACAAGCAAGAACUUAAAGUUGGCGUCCAGUGUCGAAGAGUAAUUGGGAAAUGAGCUUUUUAUAUAUAUAUAUAUGCAAAAGCUGCCACGUCACAACGUGAUUUAACACUAAUCACGAUAACAACUCACCGCAACAAAUCAUUAGGCCCUGUAGGUAUAAAAAUAAUUCAGUAAAGUAUCGUAGCAAAAGCAAUAUGGCUAAUUCAGCAAGAUGUCAAAUCAAGCUCAGUAGUGCUUCCUUUUGCUAGGCUGUAGAACUAAUUAUUACUAUAUACUACCAUGGAAGCAGAAUCAUAGGAAAAGGGCAUCAUAGGAAUUCCGUAAUAUUCGAUCAUCACCAAUCCCUUUUUAUAUCAUAUCAUAUCAUAUUAGUACAAUUUACAAUAUCCCAUCCACCUGUGCUGCUGCCUCGACAUUCUAUUAUUAAUAUUGCUCCAUCAGCUGCUUUUAUUUGUUUUUAUUGAUUCACAGGUAUCAGCAACAGCAAAACAUUAAGAUCGAGGAAACAACAAUACAUGACCAAACAAUAAUUUAAGAUUCUUCUGAUUGAUCUGUAGUAUAUACAUACUAGGGCUAUUAUCACUAUACUAACGCAAUAAAUAUUUUGUGUAACCUAAAUUCUGAAUCUCCUACCCCUCUACGCUAUAUUCUUAAAAAAAAAAAAAAAAACAAACAAAAAUUUAAGAACAAUUGGCACCACCCCUACAGCUACUCCGCCUACUAUCUUGUGUAUGUGUCUGCUAUAAUUAGACUCUGCUAUUUGUGUUCCUCCAUGAAAACGAACUACUGCCAGUGACCUGAGCAGAGGGGAUUUGGUCCCACUUGCUAAGCUAGCUAGCUUUCCAUGGUGACUGGGUUCGUCGUCAUGUGGGCCGGAAUUUGGGACCACAGAACGGCAAGGACCAGAUAAACUGAAUGGCCCACAGGUGGUACGCCACCCGAAACCGGACAAGGUUAGAUGGGCCUCCGUGGAAGGUAAUGGGUCGCGAAAAGUUGGUGCUAGAUGUGGACUGAGAGAGGGAGAGGGGCAGAGAAACGGAUGGAAGAAAGGCCAAAAGGAAUAGAAGAAGUUAGAAGUGGUGACACAACCGCCACAUUGCUGCAGCGAUGGCGACAGCAGCGGCAAUGGCCUGCGAUCUGAACGCGUGCAUGCACGAGGAUGCUGCAGCACCGCUCUCCUCCAAAUCUGCACCCUGGUAUAUCAUGGUUCCGUUGAUCAGCGGUGUGUUGUUGUCGUCAUCGCCCGCCGGAGUUUGUGUUGAUUUUUGGCUGCGGUUAUAUCACAUGGUACAUAUAUUAUUAGCAAAAAGGUACGGCAGCCUUAUUAAUAAUAAGUAAUUUCAAGUAGCAUAGCAUGCAUGUUGUCAACUUGGAUAAGGAACAAGGGACAUGGCUAUCAACUUGGGUUGCCAAAAGUUAAUCGAAGUCGGGGUUUCCUGGCGCCAACUAAAAUAGAUUAGACAACCAGGCUGCAUCUAAUCUAAUGGCACUGGAGCAGAGUUUUUGCCCACCAGGCUGUCCAUCCAUUCUCUUCAAUGGCGUAAAUAAUUAGUAGUCAGUUGCCGUCCAUCCAAUUCUUUAUCCCAUCCCGUUUUCAAUUUCCCAUAAAAAAAAAAAAAAUGUCAAAAUUUUCAGGCUGACCAUCAGCAGUUUGGCCUAUGACAAUAUCACUUAUAUCACAAUCAGCAUGCACAUAUUGACCCCCCCAAAUAAUGACGACAAUCCCAUCACCCAUGCUUCACUCAAAGCUGGCAAAAGACUACUAAAGUUUCGAUCAAACCUCCACCGAAUUGUCUAAAUUUUGGUUGACAAAACUUUUUUAGCCGUUGAACCGCAGAAACCUCCUCCAAUUAUUAGGUAUACCGCACAAUACUAUAGUACUGUACUCCUGUAAAUUCCCGAUUCUGAUUAACAAGUGAUACUGUCGCUUUCAUCAGCCCCCGCCCCCAAACGACAGAGUUAGGAGAACAUGGAGACAAGAAUAGGCCUCGUAACGCGUGACAUUUAAGGACCCAGUGGAAAAAAAAAAAAAACCGGAUCAAGGCCUCACAAAAUUAAUUAAUUAAAAUCUCUCCCUAAUUCAGAUCGGUUCAAUUCAUAUUUUUAAGUUGACAAUUAAAUUAAAAUCAUACAAAUUUAUUAUCUGAAUAUUCUGCGUAAAUUUACGGCCAUUACUGGGAGCGAGGGACUCAGAAUUUACCUGGUGUUGGGAGGUGGGCAGAAGGUAAUAAUGUAGUCGGCGCCGGCACACGUGAAGAUACUGGUCUUAUCAUCGUAGGCAUAGCUAUAGGCGCGCGGGCACGCGUUCUUGAACACCUGCGAGUAACUGGAUGGCUUGCACGUAUCAGGAGUGUUAUACGCGCCGCUGCAGCAAUACUGAGCUUGCCCGAACGCCGCGCACGCGCUCUUGCACGCCACUUUCUCCCCUCGCUGCUCGUGACCUUCAGGUCCGAAGGGCACGCCCCGUUCAAAUCAACCACGCACCCCGUGGUUGUACAGUUGCCACCGGAGCCACCUUGCGGGACCACCAGCAUGGGGAGGUUGUAGCCGUCCACCAGGCUGACGUCAUAGAAGUCCAAGCCACCGGCCCCGUCGAGCGUGAAUUCAGCCAGGGUGGCGGGCAGAGCAGCGUUGCCGCCAGCACAUUCUACCUUUCCGGAGCCACAAUCCCCCGUGACGCAGCUGAAGUUGCCGGAGGAGGAGUCUCCCGUGCAGCGGGUCCGACCCCAGAAGCGGCCACCCAGGAGGAAGGUACUUGAAUGGUCCUGGACUCUCCAACUUGAAGAGCAAAGCCGGUGGUGGAAAGCGGGGCAAUUCCGGCAUUGGACAAAAUGCCGGGCCAAAUUGUGUACUGGCACUUGUUUACUAAUGUAAAUGUUGCUGAUGCAUAAAUUCCUGCGUUAUCGUAGGACACGACAAAUAAAUCCUGUUAUGUGUGAAGCGCAAAUGCAUUGCACGGUUCAAAAUUCUAAUGAAUGCUGUAAAUAAGUAAGAUGGACAAUGUUUCGUUUAAUUAGCAUCAAUUUGAUUCAAAUUCCAGGCUAGUGAAUGCUAUGUUUCCUCUUCCGUGAUUUUUGGAGCAAAUUAGCUUGGGCUAGUUACCUGAUGUGAAUUGAUUAAUGAGUGUAAACAGCAGGGGGAAUAAAUAGAGUUGAGCCAUGAAUGAUAUCGUGCUACUACACUUGGAAAAAUGGAAAGAAGGAGAAGGAGGUGGCGGCUUGAGAGGAGGAGACAAUGGAAAUCAACCUUCUUCUCUUCUGCUGCUAUAGGAAAACUGGAAAGCAGGGGAAAUGCAAGGGUGGUGGGGGGGUGGUGUGAAGAGAGAGAGGGAGGGGUUCUGGUGGGCAAGGAUGGCCGCAGGGGUGUAUAUAUAGAGAAUCAGAAGGUAGGAGCGAUCGGUAGUUUUUGCAGUAGUGAUGGGCCCCCAUGAGACGAGGUGGGGGAUGAUGAAUUUGGGCUGCCAGCGUCAUUGAGUUUGUAACUGGCGCCGCCUUCCUCUGUUUUGUAAAGCAAGGCGUUCUCUGUUUUGUAAAGGCUACUUACUGCUCAGUAUUAACAAGAAAGCCCUCUUCCUAAAUUAACACUGCGAUGUGUGCAGAUAGCUUCCCAAUUGGACACUUGCUGAUAAAAUGGAAUGGAUUUAGCAAAUAUUAAAUGGGCUUUCAGUAAAUUUAAGUCGUCAUUUCAGGUUUGGAGUACACAUUUUUACGUUUGCGGUUGUGGUGAAUGAUGCAGAAGUUAAAACGUUGUUUCUUGUUUUUAGUUUCAGCAUUAGCGUACUGAUACAUGCAUUACACUCUGCUCCACGAUUGAAAUUGACACUGUAGAGAUUCGCAGCCCUUUGGCUUUGAUGAUGAUAAGUGAUAAGUGCAUUUUCUUUCCUUUCUUUCUUUCCAUUUGAGAAGAGAAAUGGAAAUGAAGAAGGACCAGUGUGUUUUGGGGGGAGUGCAUUUAUCAGGAGGUCUGCCUUUCAGUCAAAUUUGCCGUUUGUAAGAGACUCCAAACCAAAGUGCAAAAGUAACACGUACUGUAGAAGAAGAAGUUAUGAUGAUCUGAUGAUUGUGUGGAACACGUACUAUUUGUUUUGGGACCCAAGUCCAAAAAUAUAUAGAUGAUGUUUGACCCUUGGCAAUGUGGUCAAGACACAUGUUCUAAUUUCUAUACAUCUCAUUUUUACCGAUAUUUUACCUCAGCAGAUUGGGGUGCUAUAUGUACUUAGUAUGUGGAUUGAAUAUGUAAUGUAGAGUACACGGAAAGCAAAGUUUAGAAGUAGCCGUAUCUGCAUCUACUUACAGAUACAAAAUUGAAAUAUUUGAAACGUUUAAGCUAGAGACUCCUAUCACCAGGGAGGGGCUUAAGUCCCUCGUUGAACUGUAGGUGAGGUUCAAAUCUCAUAUAUAGCGAAAAAAAUUUAAGAGUUGUGUCAUAACACUCCCUUGAUCUAGUUGGGUCUGUAUACCCACUAGCCAGCGAAAAAAUCUAAGGGUUGUGUCAUAACACUCCCUUGAUCUAGUUGAGUCUGUAUACCCACUAGCUCCUUACCACAGCCUCCUUAGGCUCCCCUCUCCCUAGAUUGGGAUAGAGUAAGUUAUACAAAUGUAUCAUUGCUGACAAAAAAAAAAAAAAAGACUCCUAUCACAGCUUCCUAAAGAUAUCUAUGCGAGUAUCAUUAUUCCCAAUAACUUUAAGAAAAAAAUGGGGGCAGACGCAGAACGUGACAUGUAAAUGUUACAUCAGUGGCUGUCUGCUUAAAAUUUCUAAUUGAAGAGGACUACUCUUAUCAAAUCAACAAAAAAACAAAACUGUUUGGAGGCACGAAGCGAUAAGAGGAAUGCUUGCAAGCAUCAACUACCGGGUAGCUAGCUUAAAUAAUUAAAGCUCACUACUAGGAUCCACCACAACAGUCGACUGCUAUGCAAUAUGCUUUUUGGAACUGGUUUCACAUGAUAGAACCACAAGGAAUCAUGCCAAUUAGCACUCUUAAAGUGUGUUUACCAUUUUUUUUUUUGGGUUAAAAGAAAAAAUUUCUUACUUAGAAAAGGGGCGAGAUUUAAGAAGAGAAGAGGAGGAAAUGGGAUUAGAAUCCAUAACUUCUUCAAGAUAUUUUAGUUCAAUUCGACAUUGAUCGAAACAGUUUUAUGAUCGAACUUAAGCGCAUUUCUAAAGCCGAUUAGAGAAAAAACAAUCCAAGUUCAAUAAUAUAAUUGUCGCUGAUUGGGCAUGAUGCAACCGAGAUAUAUAUAUAUAUAUAUAUAUAUAUAUAUAUGGCAUAAAAUUUCAAAUGUAACGCAAAGCUUUUUGAGUGUAGGGCUGGUUUUGAGGGGGAUAAAAACCCCAUCCUGCAAAAGAUAGGGCAACACAAAAAAGGGCGUAGAUGUAGAAGAAAAAAUCUCAAAGGAUCAGUCGCUGUAGCGUAAUUACAUUGGCAAUUUGGCUGUUAUGCAAGCAUUUAGAAGACAUUUCUAUCCAUAGUGUGCCCGGAAACAACCGUCGGCUGGCCGUUGCUAAGGUCCCCACUUUGAAAGGCUAACCAUUAAAUAAAGAGGACCCUGUUGUCGUAGAGAUAUUGAUCAAGAGAUACACGAGCAGUUGAAGCCAAAUUGGUAUUUUCAGGAGAGCAUUCAAUCAAUGAUUCUGAUUGUUUCUACAACCCACAGGAAAUAUGUAGAAAGCAUGCCAAUCACAUUUGGUAUUUCGAUUAAAUAAACAAAUUAAUAAAUUGGUUGAACAGAUAAACAUCAUUGCUCAAUACCACUAAACUUGGGGGGAAGAAGCUCCUGGCACAACGUUUGGUUCGUCUCCACAAUCCAGUUAGCACACCACGAAACAGGAAAUGUCAACGAGACCAUAUCAUUAUUGCUUUCCAAAAAAAAAGGGGAUUUCGAGAAUUGAAGUUACUGUGCUAGGUGGGAAAAAUUGGCGGCUGAAUGUAGCAGCAGUUGUAGUAUUAAAACAGAAAGAAUCCCCAUUUGGUGAUAUUUUUUCCAUCGACCAAUUCGAGAGACUUCAAAGCUCAAAGAUGCCAUUCUUUCGGUGUCUCAUCAAGUCCAAUUGGGCUCCUCUGUUCUCUCUCACGGUCUCACCUAACCAUAAUAUUACUAUCACAAUAAAAGAGUAAAGUAGAUUGUUGGCGUCAAAAAUCUUUUCAUGUUUUUUAAAGCUCAAUUUAAGCAAACAAAUAAUAAUGUUUCAUCAAUUCAUGCACUUGACGGAUGGGGUCAAUCGGAUUACGACAAUUACCAGUACUAGGAAGGCAGGCAUGAAGGAUCAAAUUAGCAGACUAGGAGCUAACAUUUGACUGUCAAGUGGUAGCUUAGUUUACCUGCAUUUACGGUCUGUUUCUUCAUUCGUUGAACUGCCGCCACCUUCUAUUAAUAUUUAAUAGGCGGCGGUAGUGCUUGCUUUGGUCCGGUUCAAUUAAAAUAAUGAAGAGCACGGAUUAGUAGUUCUUGGUGGAAAACAAAAAAAAGAUGAUGUGACGCGGGAGUUGUGUCGAGGCCAAACUCAGGAAUGACGGAGUGACGUUUCUCCAUGCUUACGGGCUACCUUCUUAAAUGUAUGAAUAUCUGUAAAUUUUCCAGUGUUUGAUUCCGAUUUUAAAUGUACAACUUGGAUUAGUAUGCUUGUACCCGUUUGGAACUUGGAUUAGUAUGCUUGUAUGUGGAAACCUUGGUCAAAACCAAAUGGCUCAUCCAAUCCAAUGCGCAUUUUCCCAUCCUAUAAUACGAUUUUGACUCUUACCAGACAUCGUCACAGGCUGAACUCUGAAGGCUUCAGACAGAAUCUGGUUUCAACUUUGAACAUUGAACUUAACUUGUAGAAUCGUAUUUGGCUAAAAUAAUGCUCCGUCGUCAUGAAACUGCCACAUUGGGACCGUAACUACUUCCGAAACGCCAACCAGCAACCAGGAGGAAACCGGGAGCUUUGACUGCUAAUGAAGAAACAUUUGUAGAUUGUGUAUGCGUAAAUUAGCAGCCUUUGCCUCCCCACCAAAAAUGCCACAUUUCAGUGGCUUGUUUUUUAAAAAAAUCCAGGCGAGUGUGCUGUGCAUCGUUUGGUCCGGUGGUAUGUUCAGUCCCCUCCGGACAAUGAUGGAGCCAAGGGGGGACAGAGGGGGGCCAUGGCCCCCCUAAGUUUGAAAAUUUUAAUUCAUAAUAUAUAAUAUGUGUGUAAAAUAAAAUCGGCCCCCCCUAAUUUUUCAAUUUUAGUUAUAUAUAUAUAUAUAUUAAUAUAUAUAUAUAUAUAUAUAUAUGAAUUAGUUAUCUUUGAAUUACUUUUUUCUUCAGAAAAAGUUAUUUAUUUUUUAUUGUACUAAUUAUUUAACUUUCAAAAAUUAAACGUAUAAUUGAUGUUCCAUAGUAAAUUGACCCAAUGUGAUGUAUUAGAAUAAAAAGACCCAAUUCAUAAUUGUUAAUGGCUAAAAAGACCCAAUUCAUAAUUGUAACUAGUACGUCUAAGAAUAGAACUUCAAUAUUUGAGCUCGACAUUCCAAAUCAUCACGAAUUGCAAGAAUUAUUGGUAUUCAUGAGUUAUGUCAGACUUGGUGAAGACAAGAAAAUCAGUGAUAUAUCCUCUUAUUGACAGAUUUAUUAGACUUGUUUCUUACUCUUCCUAUAUCAACUGCAACUACAGAGCAGGCAUUUUCAAAUGAAAAUAAUCAAGACAAAGCUCCGAAACAAGACGGAAGAUAAUUUCUUGAAUAAUUGUCUAACUGUGUAUAUAGAAAAGGAAGUUGCUGAAAAAUUUAGCAGUGAUUCAAUCAUAGAUGAAUUUAGUUCUAUGAAAGAGGGUAGAGCUCAAUUUACUUCUAAAAAAAGAUGUUGAAAUUUCAAAUUAUGUUAACAUAACUUUUAUCUUUUUCAAUUGAAAAUAGUUACAUUUAUAUUACACGGUUAUAUAUAUAUAUAUAUAUAUAUAUAUAUGCAUAGGUGACAUAUUGGAGAGCAUCUUCUCAUAAUGUGCAAAUUGGAUGGUUUGUGAUGUUAUAAGAGUUUUAAUCAAAAGUUAUCUUUUUUGUUAAUUUUUGUUAUGACUAUACCGAUAUUUAUGAAUAGACAUACUUUAUAAUUAAAUUUAAUAUUUGAUAUAUUUUUUAGAUGUCAUAUAUUUAAAUAGAAGAAAAUUAUUUUGAAACAUAAUAUAUUAAGAUAAUUUUAUUAGGAAAAAAUUUUGGCCCCCCCCAAAAAAAAUCCUGGCUCCGUCACUGCCUCCGGAUUAUUCCUGGACCUCCUUAGGUCCGCCCCCUCCCCCUUAGUGUAGGAUAAAAUAGGUUUAUCGUCUCAAAAAAAAAAAAGAAUGCGUCUUGUGGGCUUAUCUUAUCUCAAUUGCAUUUGUCCCCCACUUUGUAGACUCCAUUUUCCCUCCUGCGGGGCCGGCCGACAUGUUCUACGAGUUAGGUGCUAGAAAAACACACUAACAUAAGAUCAUAAAUACGUUAAGAGUUUUUUUCUUUCUUUUUUUUGGGGUAGUGGUUGAUAAGUUAUACUCCUUCCAUCCCACUUUGAUAUGUUGCAACAUCUACCUUUAAAGAAGAUAUUGAUAUCUGGUUUGGACAUCAAACCCGAUUUAGUUUCAUCCACACCACCAAAAAUCACAAAAAUAUAUAAUAACCGGUUUACUCGAUUUUGCCCUAGCUUUUACCUCUUUAAUUUAGUCAAUUUUGAUUGAUUUCUUGCUACAAAAUUAGACCAAAUUAGUGUGCAAUCAACGGAAAAUUCCUUCGCAUUAGUAAGCUAGCUUUGUAAGGUAAGCAAGGAAUUAUUACAGGAAAUACAUAUAUGCAUAAAAGACACUAAUGUCUGUCUAAUGAACCGAAGCUUGCCUUGCCAUCACCGUAACAGCUGAGCAGAUAAAAGUCCAAGAUUGGCCGGAGGGAGUAGUAACUUAAAAUGAGCCGCCAGUGAAAAAAACCCUGAAUAUCAGGUUUCUUUCCUUGAUCAUAGCUCUUGUGAAACCAAUACUCCUGCUGUUAACCAUCCGGGCUGCCUGCCUUCCGAAUGUACAGUGACAUGAAAAAAAUCAUUUCACUGUAACCUUUUAAUUUGACCUAUUGCUUUCGUUAUGCAUUUUCAAAGAGAGAGUAGUGCGUGUUACGACUUUGGUGGUAGAAAGUAGAAACAUCAAUUGUGGAAGGACGCUCGCACGAUUUUAGUUCCCGGUUUAGACAGACCAUAGUAGAUAUUCAGGCCGAUUUCAUGCAUGAGAACUCGAAUACGCAAGGACUUCCUACACCAACGAUAACGAUAUAUAUGUGGGAUGUUACCUCUUUCUGAGGAGGAGGCUGAGUUAGAUCAAUGGACGACUACCGUGGAUCGGAUGGUGAAAGCAUCCCGGACCACGCCCAUUGCCGUUAAUUUUGAAUAUAAGCAGACGCAUGACCACUCCUGUACCGAGUUUCGUCAGCGGAUACACCAAAUUAGUGCUGCACAUGAUUCUUGCUUUAAAAAAAAAAAUAGACAAUUGAACAUCAGAAAGGUUUUUGAAGUUCUCCUACCUAACUCAAUUAUCCAGUUCACACAUCACACAGGACAGGUUUUAGCGUGUAAUUUGCACCAAGUACUUUCCAAUUGUCACCUUCUAUUUGCAGAAAACAUCUGCUCCGCCAAAACACUCUCUAAAGUCCAAAUGGAGGGUCUCUAAUUCUUCUUCCUUUUCUCAUGCCUCGCUCUGUCCUUGCGUGAUUUGCUGUGACGGGAAGACAUGACAAAAAACAAAAAAGUUCAAAACAUCAUCAGAUAGAUUGGAGAUUUCAACCGAUACAAAAGAAGUCUUUGUCCUCGACUCGUGAUCACAUCACAAUCGAUGAUAUUAACAAAAUAAAAAGCCACCAUCAUAUGGUCUUCAACAGGACAAACACCAAUCCUUCAGUGUCUUUAACUUUCUUUCCUAUUCUCCUCAUAAGCAGUCCACCGCCUCCUCACUUUCUACGAAACCCUGUGGUACAGCAGUGACAAUA
rnacentral:lncRNA from 1 species